GGGACGGGUGAGUAAUGUCUGGGAAACUGCCUGAUGGAGGGGGGUAACUACUGGAAACGGUAGCUAAUACCGCAUAACGCCGCAAGACCAAAGAGGGGGACCUUCGGGCCUCUUGCCAUCGGAUGUGCCCAGAUGGGAUUAGCUAGUAGGUGGGGUAACGGCUCACCUAGGCGACGAUCCCUAGCUGGUCUGAGAGGAUGACCAGCCACACUGGAACUGAGACACGGUCCAG
rnacentral:rRNA from 1 species